AGUAAUGUCUGGGAAACUGCCUGAUGGAGGGGGAUAACUACUGGAAACGGUAGCUAAUACCGCAUAACGUCGCAAGACCAAAGAGGGGGACCUUCGGGCCUCUUGCCAUCGGAUGUGCCCAGAUGGGAUUAGCUAGUAGGUGGGGUAACGGCUCACCUAGGCGACGAUCCCUAGCUGGUCUGAGAGGAUGACCAGCCACACUGGAACUGAGACACGGUCCAGACUCCUACGGGAGGCAGCAGUGGGGAAU
rnacentral:rRNA from 1 species